CGCGUAUGUGUAAACGCCAGCAGUCACACGCCAGGUUCAAGACAGCCUGCUACGAAAAUCAGAUGAGCAACUCAUUAAUGGCAGCUUUCGUUAGAUUCACGCCGCAAAAACCUACAGCGGAGAGCAGUUGGUCCCGUCUGUUAAGAUGAAAACAGAAUAAGAUAGGAAACAGAAUUGUAUAUUUUAUCCGCGUAGUCCGCAGGGUAUUGCGUUGCCCGCGUGUUUACUGUUGCGGUGUCAGUCCCAAUACACGUCGGGCACUGGCCAUCGGACACCUGCUCGAAUCUUAUUGUUUAUUAGUUGAAUCAAACGUAGCCUACCUCUGAAACUAGAACUUUCUUUUGCAAAUUGUUGCACGUUGACGUGUGGCUGCAUAACACCUGCAAGCAAGUCAUAAGGAAUUUAGAGCAAAUAUACCCAGAAAUUUACCUUUUGUAAAUUAGUAAAACUUUUUUUUAAUCUUAAAAACAUUUACGUUAUGCCUUCUUUCAGUUUUCUUUGUAUUAUUCACUCUCAUUCCUAUUUCUAUUUAUUGAUGUAUGCAGUUAUUCAUUUAUGUGCGUGUUUAUUUUGAGACGCGUAGUAGCACGGAGACGUGGUAAAUAGCUGGAAGGCCGCUUGGCGUCGGUAGCAGCUGUUGCUUGAAUGAAAAAUUAAGAUCAGGGACCCCAAAGGAAAGGGGGAAUUGGACACACACUCAGCCAAUUUAAGAUUAACAAGACCUUAUUGGAAGCCGUGUUUCAUGUCGGGCCCUGCUGUCGCGUCGCCAUUUCACUGUGCGCUGAAUAUACCUGUAGUAUUGUGAGGUCGUAUCAAAAGUGGGUGAAGGAGCGCUUCGAAAUUGAAGUAAAACUUGUCAAAUGGCGUUGACCCGCUUGGUUAAACUGACGCUUUAACUGUCUAAAUCGAUGCGGGUCCUGAUGGCUGUCUUGCGCCUGUCUGUGGUUUCACGGUGAGUUGUUAUAGCAAAGCGUAGCAUCAGCACCGGGGCACGAAGCGACUUAACACGGGCUGUCCUGAUAGCUAACGCCACGGCCAGUUAUUACUGGAGUCACCUGCCUGUGCAGGUCCUCGUCGCUUAAUGCUUACAAGCAAAUCAGGACGUCUUUUUAUAACUAAGCAUCCAAUACAAAUAUUUUAAUACACACCGAGUGGAAAUUAAAAUCCCCGUAAAGUCCAGCUAGCCUACUUUUAAAAAUUCACAUUAUAGCCUACAUUGUGAAAGUUAGAACAUUCACCUAUUAUCUUGUACAUUUUAAUAAUAAUUAUGUAACACUUUUCAGGUAACAUUCAAAUGAAUGCCAAUCAGUUCUUGGACAUAAAUAAGGACAUUGAAUUUAAUGUUCAUCUUUUUGAAGGAAUUUUAAAAAAUGCCUAGCGAGUUCCAGUUUAGUUUCAUUAUUUAAAAGUAUCUGCGUGCGAGCGGUGUAGAUCCUUCUGAGCAGAUUAAAUCCUAAUUUCUUGUGAUUUUGUAUCAGCGACUGUAGACAAAAAGGAUAAAUUUAUAUGUACAAUGGCUGAUAAACACGGGGGGAAAAUACUGAACUAUUCUCACAUGUUGGUCGUUUUUACCAUUUUGGGGGGAAAUGUGUGUUUUCCAAUAGGCUACAUACCGCCAAUUAGAGACAUUGCUAUGGUGUAUAUACUUGGCAACUAUGAUACUUUUAAUGAUCAUAAUAGUGCAAAAAAAGUUUACCUUUUACGUUAAUGGUGCUAAAUAUGAGUUUGACAGCAGUAUAGGUUUAACACACAAAAUUUUGAUCAUGUAAAAUGGGCACGAUUGAGCGAAUACAUCCGUCGAAAGGUGUGUUUUACUGGCUGGAUUCCGCUUAAGAGACGGGACCGAGAACUGCGUGUUUUCGCCUUAUCACUUUAUUCGGAUGAUUAAAUUCUGAUGGAUAAUAUGGUGCCUUUAAAGCAUCUUAUUUACAAGCUACAGGGUUAUUUAUGCAAUUACACAAGUAAAAAAAAAUCCAAUGUCUUCAGUGAACAACACUAGACUGAACUUGUUUUCACAUACCGUCCUUAAAACUAAAAAAUCCAACCACGUCCGCAGUACGCAGAUGUUGCACAAUAUUGAACCCGUUUUUUAAAAUAACCAAAUUUAGGAUGGUUUUAGUUACGGCUGCUAUAAAAAAAACGGAUAAUAGCUUGCGCAAAAAGCAGCUACAUUUAUUUAGUUUCGUUUAACUGAACUGUAGACAAAUGUGGCUUAAUUAAAACCAAAGUUUAAUUACAUUUCAUUAAAGGUGAUCAUUCAUUGAUUUGAUUUACAUUCCAUAGGUAUUUACGCUACAAUUUGCAACGUCAUUAAGAAGUAUCCGGUUGAACACAGACUCCUUAAUAAUUAAAUUGUGGGCAAUGCUAGCGGUUUUGUUUCUGAGCGUCCAUGCAGUAGCACAGAAGUCAGUCACGCAGGCAGGCAGUGGUUCAUUUGGCAGAGAAUAGUCACGAUAGUCAUUUAGUUAACGCAAAGGUACAUCCUGAGCCGUAUUUGUUUAACAAAUUUAAAUAUAAUCCGAAGAACUCGAAGUUGAAACAUAGUUGUAAAAGGGAAAUGCCUGUCAAAUUUGUUGCGCAACUGUUUACCGAAAAAUAACAAACGUUACCUUGCUUUUUUCUAAGUGCAUAUCACGCUAUAAAUUAACCAUUCAUUCUGUUUAUCACGUCUGCACGAGAAUAAACAAUGAAUGGGGAGUCGCGUGGCAGAAUACGCGCAUAAAAGUGAUGAUCUGCUGUAGUGUAGUCAUGGAACCAUCACAUUUCAAGCAUUUCGUUUAAAAUACGCAGAGCCGCUCAGGCAGAAGCUGCCAUCGUUUCUAACCAGGACGAAAAGCGAAGCAGCGGUGGCUCGGUCCCAUCCAAAGCCGCAGCCGCCCCCACACCGCCGCACACCAGUAAAACCCGCUUUCCGGGCAGUGCCAAGCUGUCGAUCGGGUUAAUUUGACGGAGGUCCGAAGGGACCAGAGCCGUUUAGUCGUGGAGGCUACGGUGGUGAUGAGGAGGGCAGAGGGGCUUGGCUGUGAGCCGAAAUGGCAGAGACUCAGCGAAAGCAGCAGCCGCGCUGCGCAAACGGAUCAAGCGAGAUCGGAACCGUCGGCGGCAGCGCGAUGAAAGGCAGUGAAGCCUUCGGAUACGAGGGGCGAAACUGCAGCGUUAAGCCCGGCCCGGGUCGCUGAUUAUUCUCAAUGGGCACCAGUUUGUGGUCUGGAACAGGAAGUGAAUCUACACACGCAGAGCAAGCAGUGUUACGGCGCUGAAGGAGUCGCUUAACCCCAAAUCGCUGGCCAAGCAGUUCAAAGUAUAGUAAAAUGAGUAUGUGUGCAAAGUACAAAACGAAAAACGACACAGUGCGUUAAUGUGGACAUUUCCUUAUAUCGAAAUGAGUAACAGAAGGUGGAAAAUCAUCAUUCUAAGUUCCAAAAGCAAUAAUUCCCAGAUUAAAUACUGGUAUUUCAUAAUGAUGCAAAAAAACAAAUAGGAUUUUCCUAUCCAAGGGCACAGAGACUAUGCAGGAAGCUCAGAUCUGCCAACGAUGAAAACAAACAGCGGCAUGGGAAAACUGAGCUGCUUUACAUGUCCAGGAGCCUGCGUGCUUUCUACCUUUUUAUCGCGAACAGAACAGUGAUUCCCAAGGAGAACAGGAUAUUCUAGAAGGUGGGAAACAGGCCCUUCGCUCGGAGAAAAUGUCAACAAAUCAAAAUGAGCUGCAAGGAUACCUCCACAAGCACCAAGUUCCAUGACCUACGUCCACCAAUCCGAUGCACUCAUAGUCGGGUGCAGUCUGCCAGCCAGAGCCGCGGGACUGGGGAGGAAUGCCGUUUUAGGAUCAAGGUUUAUCGAUCGGACACUCACGGUGGAGAUGCCAUUGGAAACAUCAGGAAGAACGCUGAUGGCGAGUUUUAAGGAAA